UUAAGUACGAGCUGGGUUGCCUGGCAGGCUGGCAGAGGUAAAGGUGGGGCAGAGGCAUCUGCUGCUCACCUGGGCCUGAGAAGUCCUAGGAGGUGCGCGGCCCAACCCAGGACAGAGCAACCCGGAAGAGACUGAGUUGCGGCUGGAAGAGUCCUGGCGGCGGAGUAGGACAGAGUUGGUAGGAAUGCUGUGUGGCUCUGAGCAACUUACUUAACCUCUCUGAACUGCUGUCUUCAUCUGCUAAGUGGAAAUAGCAAUACUUCCCUUGCUAGGUGGUUGGAGGAUUGGCAGUGGUUGCCUGGCAGCCAGCAUUCAGGCAGAGGCUGUUGUUAGUAACAAAGUCCUCAUCUGGUGUUCUGGAGGCCCAGCCACCACCCUCAGUCUCCUUCACAAAUCGAUUCUAUCCCAGCAUGUACUCUCACUGCCGUGCGGCGGUUCCCCCCAGCCUCGCUGCUCCCAGACCUGAACAGCACUGCUUCAAGGCAUCAGGCGAUGUGGGUUGGCUGACACGAAAUGGCCACUGAGGCUGUGGAAACACUCGUAGGUGCUGGGAAAGGGUUCUCCCAGUUCAGCUCUGCCUUGUCAUGACUCAGCUUCCCUCUGCUCUUGUCUUCCUAAGCUCCCAAGGAGCCGCGUUUCUGCCCUGUGCCCUGAGGGCGUCUGGCUGCCUCUUUCAUCGGUCUCUCAUGACCGUCAAGGCUUUGCCGCUUGGCCCCAGUGCUGUGGCUUGGAAAGAAAUACAGACCUUGGUGCACUGAAAUUCCUGGUGAGGCUCAGGGCCACGCAGACGGCCCUGAGCAUGUUCAAAUGUGUUUUUAGGUUAACAUCAAAAUGACAGCACCCCAUUUUUAAAUUUUCAAGAAGAUGCUGCUCCCAGUCUGAGAAAGUCUGGACGGGGGUCACCAGGACCUGGCGCAGUCCCCCCAGCCUCUUCCUCACGUGUGACGCCUCUUGUUGCUGACCCUCCGGGCUCACAGGAGGAGCGGUGGGUGUGGACCCAGAGCCCUCAGCGGUGGCUGGAGGUGGACCGCACACAGCGGCUGGAAGCUUUCCUCCUCCCUGUCUCCAAGCCCUUCACAAUGACAUUGCAGCUCCCUCCUCAAGGGGCGGGGCGCCUGUUCCCUGCCCUUGAUCCAGGUGCGCCUGAGGCUUGCUCUGACCAGAGAACGCAGUGGACGUGAGGGUGCCGGGUCUGAGCCAGGCCCCUGAGGCUGGUGGGCUUUCCCUCUCUCAUUCGCCCCUCAAUUCCUCCCUUUAAACCCAGAGUCCUUGGUUUUGGGAAGGUGGCUCAGGUCCAGAGCUCCUCCCACGAGGGGAAAGCACCCUGGCACCGUGUCGAGUGGAGAGAAGGUACAGAGCGGGGAGAGACACAGGAAGUCUGCAGGCCUCCUGUCCCCAGGGGGGAAAGGAUGCAGAGGCUGACCGUGCCUGCCUCCUCGUUGAAGAAACUCCAGCAAGCUGGGAGACUGAAAUUACCUGCUGGCCUCAGCGAAGCCCCAGGACAAGGACAGCGUGCCUUGUCCCCUGCAUGAUGGCCGGGCAGGGAAGGCUCCUCUGGUAGCAGCUGCUGUCAAACUGUGUCAUUCUGCAGAAGGGACACUCCAAGCUCAUAGAUGCUAUGCCACGUCCUCAAGCCAAGAGGAAGCAAAGGGCGGGCUGGGGCCAGCUCCCGACCAGACGUUCUCAGCCUCUAUCAGGACAUGUGCGGCCCUGCCUCCCACUGCUCCCUACAAAAUCCAGAUCCGCUCACAUCUGAGAUUCUCUCCUAAGGGUGGAGCUCCGUGAGAGCUGCAGUCAAGUCUGCUUCACUUCUCCAUGUUCCUGGUGUCCAGCACUCCGUCUGGCCAGAGGAGGAGCCGGGGGGGGCUCUGAGGGAGCUUUCCCGACUCCCUCCCACCGAGUGCAGGCUCAAAGUCUUCUGUCGCAGCAUGUGUACCUCUCUCAGGCAGUACUUUAAGCAUGUGUAUAACAGGAGUUCUUGUGCAUGGGCACCUGGGCAUCGGGCUUCCAGUGACGGGAACCAGAGCGUGGUCCAGGCAGAAUAACGACCCACCUAAACAGUCCACGUCCUGAUCCCCGGAACCUAUCUGUUGGAUCACUCACUCUGGGGGAAGCCGUGUCAUGAGCAGCCCCAUGGAGAGGUCUUUGCGGCAAGGAACUGCUGGCUGGUGCCGACAACCACAUGAGUCAGCUCGGAAGUCAAUUCUCCAGCUCCCGCUGAGCCUUGAGAUGACCAUGACUCUGUCCCACAGCUGGACACAACCUGAGAGAUGCCGAGCCAGAACGCCCAGCUAAGCUGCUCCUGAAUUCCUAACCCUCAGAAACUGUGAGAUAACAUUGUGUUGUUUGAAACCAUUAAGUUUUGGAGUAAUUUGUUAUGCAGCAAAAGUAAGAAAUAUCGGAAAUCCUUUUCCUUCACAGUUUUGAAAGCUUUGCUCUAUGGCUAAAGCUCUAGCUCUCCAGCGUUUCUGUUGAGAAAUCCAAAACAAUUCUGAGCCCGAUUCUUUGAACAUGACCCAUUUCCCCUGGAAGUUGUGGCACGUUCUCUUCAGCCCAUCUGUUCUGAGACUGGACAGUCAUUCGUCAUGUUGCGUCUCCAUGUUCCAUUGUGCUGGGCCCCUGGUGGGCUGCUUCAGUGUAGAAAUUCAUUUCUUUCACUUCUGGGACUUUUCUUGAAUUAUUUCAUUGACAAUUUACUCCUCUUCAUUUUCUCUAUUCUCCAUUCCUAGAAUUCUUUUUGUUCAUAUUUUGGAUCCGCUGGACCAGUCCUUAUUUUCUUACUCACUGCCCUCUUUUCCUCUAUUUUCCAUUUCUGUGUUUUUUGUCUUGCUUUCUGGGUCAUUUCUUUAUCCUCCAAUCUUUUAGUAAAGCUUUUUAUUUUCGUUUUUAUUCUGUGUUCUCUUCUUUUGUUGUUUUUACGGAGUGUUCCCUUUUUAUAGCAUCUUGUUCUUAUGUCAAGGAUGCAGUAUCUUCUAUUAUCACUCUAGAAAUAUCAAUACUAGAGUUUUAGGGGAACUUUUUGGUUUGUUUCUUCAAAAGUCUUCUUCCUCUGCAUAGUCACUGUCUUUUCAAGUUGUUUUCUCUUGUUUAUUUUCUUUGAUCUCUCUCCUUCAUGUGGAUGUCUGGCAACCUUGGUUCCUCUGUUGAUAUUUAAGAGUGGAGCACUAAAGAAUUGACUGGAAGCUCUUAGGCUUUAGGGGGUUGAAUUUGUUCCCCUGAGCCUCACCUUGGGUGAUGUGGAUGGACCACUGUGGAUGGACUGUUGGCCCUUGUUCUGGCUGUCCAUCACUGUGUCCAAAGCUUUGUGGCUUCAAACUACAGCACUGGAAUUGCUCACCAGUGUGCCAUCAGGACAGUGCUCAGUGGGGACAGCUCGUUUCUGCCCCAUUCAGCAACAACUGACAUAGCUUGAAGGCUGGGGGAUGAAGGCUUGCUCACUUGUCUGGCAUCUGGGCUGGGGAGACCCAAACAGGUGGAGCUCACACAGCUGGGCCUCCUUGGGCUUUUCUCCAUCUCUGUGUGCUCUCUCCAGCAUGGUGGCUCCAGGGUAGGUACAUUCCCUACAUGUUGGCUCAGGGCUCCCAAAACACUUGCCCAAGAGAAACAGCGAGCCAGGGCAGAAGACGUAUCACUUUUUAUGACCCAGCAUUGGAGGUCAUAUCAUUUCUUUCCCUAAAGCAGUCACAAAGGCCCACCCAGGCUUAAGGGAGGGAGAAUAGACCCCACCUCCUGAUAGGAGAAGUGUCAAAAUUCUGGAAGAGCAUAUGAGACCGGAGAUAUUGUUAUAGCCAUUUUUGAUACAAAGUAUCAUAAUACUUAAGUACACUGUGUGCUAGAAAAUUCGUUGUAUUAGUUCCCUAUUGCUGCCAUAACAAAUAAUCACAAGUUUAGUUCUUUUUUUUUUUUAAACUCUGACUUUAUUUUUAUUUAUUCUUUUUUUUAAGAUUUUUAUUUUUUCCUUUUUCUCCCCAAAGCCCCCCGGUACAUAGUUGUAUAUUCUUCGUUGUGGGUCCUUCUAGUUGUGGCAUGUGGGACGCUGCCUCAACGUGGUUUGAUGAGCAGUGCCAUGUCCGCGCCCAGGAUUCGAACCAACAAAACACUGGGCCACCUGCAGCGGAGCGCGUGAACUUAACCACUUAGCCACGGGGCCAACCCCUCUUUUUUUAUUUUUUAAAGAUUUUAUUUUUUCCUUUUUCUCCCCAAAGCCCCCCGGUACAUAGUUGUAUAUUCUUCGUUGUGGGUCCUUCUAGUUGUGGCAUGUGGGACGCUGCCUCAGCGUGGUUUGAUGAGCAGUGCCAUGUCUGUGCCCAGGAUUCAAACCAACGAAACACUGGGCCGCCUGCAGCGGGGUGCACGAACUUAACCACUCAGCCAUGGGGCCAGCCCCUAGUUCUUUAAAAACCACAAAUUUAUUGUUGUACAGUUCUGGACUUCAGAACUCCAAAAUGGAUCAGAAGUCCAGUGGGCCAAAUCAAGGGCUUGGCGGAGCCACACUCCCUCUCGAGGCUGCAGGGGAGAAUCCAUUUCCUUGUCUUUUCCUGCUUCUAGAAGCCGCCUACCUUCCUUGGCUUGUGGCCCCUUCCUCCAUCUUCACAGCACAUCACUCCAACCUUUUCUUCCAUUGUCACCUGCAAAGUCCAUUUUGCCCUGUAAGGUCCCAUACUCACAGAUUCUGUGGACUAGGAUGUGGACAUCUUUGGGGGGACAUUAUUCUGUAUACCAUAAUCAUGCACGUGGAGCCACUCAUUGCCUAGUGAUUUUGCAGUUAAUCAAUUAGUGAUUCGUGCGUAUCUUUCACACCUGGCAGAGUGCUCCAGUGGACACAAGCACCCUUCAUCCUUAUUCCUGGAGUGCCUUAUACCCUCCAGCUGGAAGCUUCCUUUGCAAGGCACAACCCAACCCUGGGUUUGCAGAAGCUCCUGACUGGCAUCAGCUCUAAACACCUUCCUCCUCAUACAUCAGACGGCUCGCUGAUCCCAGAAUUCUGAGCAAAUACAGUUCCACGUUCUCUUGCGAGCCUUCCCCAAUGCAGAGAAGCUAUCUGACACCAUGGAAAGAGCUCAGUUCAUACGUCUGGUGAAUACUUGGGCAACACUCUGACUCUCUCUAGACUUCAUUCCCCUUGGCUUUAACCUGGGAGGUGACACAGAUGAGAGGAGACACGUGAUCAGAGCCAAGUCCCACCUGUGUUUAAACUCAACUCGGUAGAUAAGCUCCUGAUGGACAGGUCAGAGAGGUGACAGUACAAGGGAGGCAGACGGAGUGCAGCAGGACAGGAGAGAGCCUUUCAGGAGCACGCUGCCUAGUAUCCACCCGCCGGGCUUCAGGCGGGCUGGGCCGCUCCCACGGUGCAGCCCCACCUGGACUCUGAAGUCCUGACCUCCCAUGCUCACCUCGCCACCUCCCACUCUUCCAGCCCUCCGCCACCUACUAAGUCUGCUCCUCCAGCUUGUCAAGGACGCUCAUUUCAUCUUUCUUUUCUAUAAUGAGAAAUUUCAAAACUACAGAACAGUGUAGAGAGCAAAAUAGCACACAUCCAUUUACCACCUGCUCGGUAGUGAUAAUUUUAACGAAGUUUGCUUCCAAUUUUUUUUUAAAGGCAUGAAAGCCUACAGGUAUAAUUGAAGUCCCAUGUGUUUGCCUUCUCAGUUCCUUUUCCCUUCCUAAGCUUAAUUAACUCUUUCCCUGCUAGAGGAAAGCACCAUCUCGACUUUGCUGUGUCCACGGUUUUAUUCUUCCCACACAUGUGUUCACCCAUAAAUAAUAGAUAACACCAUUCUACGUGUUUCAAAGAUUACAGACAUGAUCCAAAGCUACGUACAAACUCAAUGCAAUCCCUAUUAAAAUUCUAAGAGCAUUCUCCACAGAAAUGGAAAAGCUGAUCCUCAGAUGCAUAUGGCAUUGCAAGGGACCUCCAAUAGUCAAAACAAUCCUGAAAAAGAAGAAUUAGGUUGAGGACCCCACACUUUCUGAUUUCAAAACUUACUACAAAACUACAGUAAUUAAAACAUACUGGCCUAAGGAUGAUCAUAUAGACCAAUGGAAUAUAAUAGAGAGCCCAGAAAUAAACCCUCCCAUGUAUGGUCAGUUGAUUUUUGAUAAGGGUGCCAAGAUCGUUCAGUGGAGAAAGGACAGUCUUUCUAACAAAUGAUGCUGGGAAAACUGGAUAUCCCCAUGCCGAAGAAGUUGGACCUCUUACCUAACACUAUACACAAAAAGUAACUCAAUAUGGAUCAAAGACACAAACUUAAGAGCUAAAACUUUAAAAUUCUUCUAAGAAAACAUAGGGGAAAAUCUUCUUGACAUUGAAUUUUGCAACAAUGUCAUGGAUUUGACACCAAAAGUGCAGGUAACGAAAGGAAAAAUAAACUCAACUCCAUUGAAAUUUAGUCGAAGUUUUUAAAUUUGCUGGCAUAAAGUUUUUUGAUAAUAAUCUCUUUUUAUCUUCUUACAUCUGCAGGAUCUUUUUUGUUGCUCAUAUUGGUGACUUAUUUUGUUUUUCUUUUAUCUGGGAGUUUAUCAAUUUCAUCAUUUUUUUAAUAACCAAACUUUUUGCUUUGUUGAUCUUCUCUGUUGUAUAUCUGCUUUGUAUUUCAUUGAUUUGGAUUCCUAUUUUUAUUAUUUCCUUCUUUCUUUUUUCCUUGGGUUUAAGUUGCUGUUCAAAUUUAGAUAACUGUCUUUAAACUAUUUUCUCGUGUAACGUAUGCAUUUAAAGGUAUAAAUUUCUUUCUAAUCACUGCUUUGCCUAUUUGCCUCAGGCAUUUGUAUGCAGUAUUUUGAUUUUCAUUCUGUUCAAAGUAUUUUCUAUUCUCCUGUGUGGUUUCUUCCUUGAGCCACGGGUUAUUUACAAGUGUUCUGUUUCACAUCCAAACGUUUGGGGUUUCUAAGAAUCUUUCUCUUGUUCAUUUCUAGUUUAAUUCCACUUUGGUCAGAGAUCACACCCGGCAUGAUUUCACCUUUGGAAGUUUGUUAAGACUUGCUUUAUGGCCCAGCACAUGUUCUAUUUUGGUAACUAUGCCCUCGAAAAGGAAGUGUGUUCGCCCCUUGCGGGGUGCAGCCCUCUGUAACUGUUUAUUAAGUCAAGUUGAUUCAUUCUGCUGUUCAUAUUUUCUAUAUACUUUUACAUCUUUCAUCUCCUUUUUCUAUCAGUUGCUGAGAGAUUUGUUAAAAAUCUCCAGCUAUGACUACAGACUUGCCUAUUUGUCUCUUUUAUUCUGGAAAUACUCUAUUUCGUGUAUUGUGUAGCUCUGUUAUUAGGUGCAUACACAUUUACGAUUGUUACAUCUUCCGUUGAAUUAACCCUUUCAUCAUUAUGAAACGUCGCUCUUUACUUCCCUUACUACCACUUCUGGCUCUAAGGUCUAUUUUGUUUGAUAUCAAUAGAGCCACACCUUUUAUUUGGUGAGUAUUUGCAUGAUAUAACUUUUAUCAUCUUUUUAUUUUUUACCUUUCUAUGUCCUAUAUUUAAAGCGUAUUUUCUAAAUACCUAAUAGCUUUAGAACCAAACUGUUCAGGGCGGGUAGAGAAAGAAAGGGAAUGGAAAUAGAAGCAUGAAUUGCCCUUAUUUUUGAAGAAAAUUUAUGCUGGCUACACAACUUUUCUUUCUGCAAAGAUGCCAUCCCAUCGUCUUCUGGUUUCAUAGUUACAGUUGACAAAUCAGCCACAACUCAUCGUUGCUACUUUGAAUGUCACGUGUUUUAUCUUUCCGGCUGCUUGUCUUAUUUUCAGUUUGACGAUGAUGUGCCUAUGUGUGAUUUUCUUUGUAUUUCUUUUCCUUGGGAUUGACUGAGCUUUGCGAAUCCGUGAGUUGAUGUCUUUAUCUGAUUUUGAAAAUUCUUGUCCUUUAGCUCUUCAGAUUUCACUUGCCAUAUUCUCUUUCCCUCCUCUGUUUCUGGGAAUCCAGUGAUAUGUAUGUUAGACCUCUGACUGUGUUCCAUUAUCUGUCUUAUACUCUGAUCUGUUAUUUUAAUUGUUUUCUCUCUCUGUGCUUCAGUUUGAGUAUUUUCUAUAUACCUGUCUUUCAGCUCACUAAUCCUAUCAUCUCCUGUGUUUAGGUUGCCAUUAAAUCCACUCAAUGAAUUCUUAAUCUCAGAUACCAAAUUUUUUCAGUUCUUGAAUGUCUAUUUGAAUAUUUAUAAAUUCCAAUUCUCUGUAGAAAUUCUCCAUCUUUUCAUUCAUUUUGUCCAUCUUUUUCUACAUAUUCUUUUUGUAUUCUAUUAUACUAGUUAUUUUUAAAUCCUUGUCUGAUAACUCCAAUAGCUAAGUUAUCUGUGUUGUGAUGGUAGGUUGAACACCUCCAGCCAAAAUUUGGUUCAAACGUCAAGAUUGAUGACAUCACACACCAAGAGAAGAUGAAAAGAUUUAUUAUUUACAUAUGAAGAUUUCUGGGGAGAGCCUGGAAACUUCCCAAGGAGGUCUAAAAAUGGGUUAAGAGAGCAGAGAAAGGAGACUGGCUUUGGGGUCAUUAGAGGGCAGUGUUAAAAUUAAUAAAGGAAAUCUCAAAUAAAAUUGGAGUCAGGAAGGCCUGUAGAGGGAGCUCUCAUGUCCUACCACUCAAUUACCCCAAACAGGAAGAUGUCAAUUACAGACCCCAACAGGAAGAAGCAUCAGUUACCAACCUCAAGAGGAAGAGAUGUGCCUUACAAUCCCAAACAGGAAGUGCAACUACUUUACUACUCCAGUAAGGGGAAGACUUCCUUCUUGCCCAGCAAUAAGCACAACCAAUGGAAAACACUGCAGCCCAGUCAAUGAGAAUCUGUUGUCACUUGAACUAUCUCUCUAUUGCCAGAUGAAAUGCUACCUGAUUCAUGAAUUAUUUAAUAAAGU
rnacentral:lncRNA from 1 species